GCAGAAUGAGGCUCUGAAGCAGUGUCUGCUGGCCAACAAACAGCAGCUGCAGACGCAGAGCAAACAAACCACCCCCUACUGCUAUGUCCAAUAACGCGUCAACACGGGCUGCGGAGGCUGAGGGAGGACACGGUCACACCCCUCACUGCUCCCAGAGUGAGCAGAGCUGCUGAGAGACCAGCUGAGGAGGAAAGAGAGGGGGUUUGAAUAAUCACUCCUCCACCUGUGAAUCAGUAGACCACUGGACAGAGAGUCAGUAGACCCUGAAGGCCAGUCAUGAAGCUGUGAUGACCAAGAUGGAAGAGCUCACGGGCCAUCUGAAAAAUAAGCAACUGAGGAGUCUUGGCCUGGAGAGCCAACUACAGGCCAACUCAUUCUCAUAGAGGAGGAAACACAGUUGCAGGAGCGAAUCCAUGAUCUGGAGAAGGAGAGAGAGCUGCUAAAAGAGAACUGUGAUAAACUAAUUAACAGAAAUUUGGGACGUUGCUGAAACUACAGUUAGUCCAGCUAGAGGUGGCACUGAAGUCUGACCUGACAGACCAAAACAAGAUUCUGGACAAGAUCAAAGUUGAAAGAGGUAUCUGUCGACCAGGACCUUUGUGUCUUUAAAAUUGUUUUAUGUGAAUUCAGAUUUACACAUUUUUUUUUUUCAUUUCAUGUAUUAUUUAUCUGCUGCCCACUUUAACCAACAUGUUUAUAAAUUGUACCCGCAAAACACCAGUCUCAACGUCAACUGAUGCAGAGUACCUCUGUCCAGUGUCUGUGUUCUUUUGCCCAUCUUAAUCUUGUAUUUGUAUCGGCCGGUCUGAGAUAUGGCUUUUUCUUUCCAACUCUGCCUAGAAGGCCACCAUCCCGGAGUCGCCUCUUCACUGUUGACAUUGAGACUGGUGUUUUGCAGGUAAUAUUUAAUUAAGUUGCCAGUUGAGAACUUGUGAGGUGUCUGUUUCUCAAACUAGACACCCUAAUGUACUUGUCCUCUUGCUCAGUUGUGCAGCGGGGCCUCCUACUCCUCUUUCUAUUCUGGUUAGAGCCAGUUUGCGCUGUUCUGUGAAGGGAGUAGUACACAGCAUUGUACUUCAGUUUCUCUGCAAUUUCUCGCAUGGAAUAGCCUUCAUUUCUCAGAACAAAAAUAGACUGACGAGUUUCAGAAGAAAGUUUUGUUUCUGGACAUUUUGAGCCUGUAAUCGAACCCACAAAUGCUGAUGCUCCAGAUACUCAACUAGUCUAAAGAAGGCCAGUUUUGUUGCUUCUUUAAUCAGAACAACAGUUUUCAGCUGUGCUAACAUAAUUGCAAAAGGGUUUUCUAAUGAUCAAUUAGCCUUUUAAAAUGAUAAACUUGGAUUAGCUAACACAACGUGCCAGUGGAACACAGGAGUGAUGGUUGAUGAUAAUGGGCCUCUGUACGCCUAUGUAAAUAUUCCAUGAAAAAUCUGCCAUUUCCAGCUACAAUAGUCAUUUACAACAUUAACUAUGUCUACAAUUUGAUGUUAUUUUAAAUGACAAAAAGAAAAUGUGUCUUUCAAAAACAAGGACAUUUCUAAGUGACCCCAAACUGUGUGUGUGUGUGUGUGUGUGUGUGUGUGUGUGUGUGUGUGUGUGUGUGUGUGUGUGUGUGU